rnacentral:lncRNA from 1 species
CCCUCCCCACGGUGUGUCAGGAGGGAUGAGGCCUCUGUGAAGUCGCCUCUGCAUAGAAUGUCCUGCUCCCGCUUGCGAGGGGCCUCUAGAUGGGCGGGUGGAUGGAUGGAAGGAGGAAGGUGUAGAUGGGUGGGUGGAUGGAAGGAGGAAGGUGUAGACGGGUGGGUGGAUGGAAGGAAGGUGUAGACAGGUGGGUAGAUGGAAGGAGGAAGCUGUAGACGGGUGGUGGAUGGAUGGAAGAAGGAAGGUGUAGACGGGCAGUUGGAUGGGUGGAUGGAAGGAGGAAGGUGUAGACGGGCAGGUGGAUGGGUAGAUGGAAGGAGGAAGGAGUAGAUGGGUGAGUGGCUGGGUGGAUGGACAGACAGCAUGGAUAAAUGGGUGAGUAGACGGAUGGAUGGAUGAAUAGAAGGAAGAGGAGGUUGGAAGGGGUUGGCUGGACAGUGAUGAACAGACAGGUGGACAGAUGAGUGGAUGUGGUGGGCGUGUCUAUGUGGAGGAAUAGACACUUGGGUAGCAGGAUGGCGGGUAGACCAGAGGGCAGGCGGACGAGCGGAUGGAGCACAGGGGAGUCGGUGGGAGGAUGAAUACAAGUGGUGCUGUGAUGAGUGGGCACGCAGGCUUUGCAUUUGGACAGGCU